rnacentral:rRNA from 1 species
UGGGGAAUAUUGGACAAUGGGCGAAAGCCUGAUCCAGCCAUGCCGCGUGUGUGAAGAAGGUCUUCGGAUUGUAAAGCACUUUAAGUUGGGAGGAAGGGCAUUAACCUAAUACGUUAGUGUUUUGACGUUACCGACAGAAUAAGCACCGGCUAACUCUGUGCCAGCAGCCGCGGUAAUACAGAGGGUGCAAGCGUUAAUCGGAAUUACUGGGCGUAAAGCGCGCGUAGGUGGUUUGUUAAGUUGGAUGUGAAAGCCCCGGGCUCAACCUGGGAACUGCAUCCAAAACUGGCAAGCUAGAGUACGGUAGAGGGUGGUGGAAUUUCCUGUGUAGCGGUGAAAUGCGUAGAUAUAGGAAGGAACACCAGUGGCCAAGGCGACCACCUGGACUGAUACUGACACUGAGGUGCGAAAGCGUGGGGAGCAAACA